GAUGAACGCUGGGGGCGUGCCUAAUACAUGCAAGUCGAGCGAACAGAUGAGGAGCUUGCUCCUCUGACGUUAGCGGCGGACGGGUGAGUAACACGUGUAUAACCUACCUAUAAGACUGGGAUAACUUCGGGAAACCGGAUCUAAUACCGGAUAAUAUAUUGAACCGCAUGGUUCAAUAGUGAAAGACGGUUUUGCUGUCACUUAUAGAUGGAUCCGCGCCGCAUUAGCUAGUUGGUAAGGUAACGGCUUACCAAGGCAACGAUGCGUAGCCGACCUGAGAGGGUGAUCAGCCACACUGGAACUGAGACACGGACCAGACUCCUACGGGAGGCAGCAGUAGGGAAUCUUCCGCAAUGGGCGAAAGCCUGACGGAGCAAAGCCGCGUGAGGGAUGAAGGUCUUAGGAUCGUAAAACUCUGUUAUUAGGGAAGAAAAAAUGUGUAAGUAACUAUGCACGUAUUGACGGUACCUAAUCAGAAAGCCACGGCUAACUACGUG
rnacentral:rRNA from 1 species